rnacentral:lncRNA from 1 species
UAGUGGAGAAGGCUUCCGACGUCGGUACAAGUACUCUGCCACUGUGCUCGCAAAGCCAUUGGAGGCAGACCCAGGGAGAACUUUCGCUCGACGCGUAGGAGGACAGAGCUCCUCAGCCUCUCUUUUUUGGUUCAUCUUUUGACUGGAGGCAGCAGUGUUGAUGUUUCUGCAGCAACAUUUUCCAGGACAAGGUAGCUGCUGAGUCAAGGAAAACGCAGUCCCCGGCUCACGUGAUGUUCUCGUCUUGAUAUGGUGUUGUUUCUGAAUCGUUCUGCAAAGGCAGAGUAGUGUUCCGAGUUGCAGAUGCUGGGAAUGGAGAUUACAAGGCUGGAGACAACAGCAACACGAUAAAAGUUCAUGAUUUAAUGCAUUUGGCAUGUUCAUCAUAAUGCAAAGUAGGUUUUGUUUGAUUACUGAUCUCAAGAAAAAGUAAGAUUUGUUUACGAUAACCAAUCUAACAUAAAUGCACUUUAUCUAACCUGAAAUAAAGAGUUGUAUUGGCACCCUAUCAUCUAUAUAUAUUUUUAACUCUAAAAAGAAGGUUCUUUUUGCUUCUCUCUUAGACUCUCUCCACGUUUGAGUUCCACAAACUUAGAUAUGGAAGGACCAGAAAAAAUCCGACACCUGUCUUCUACAAUCACCUCCGAAGAGCUUGGCACCUCGAGAACCUCACCUUGGCGCAUCGAAGAUCCGACUUCGAUCCUCGUCCCUAACAUUGCGGCUUAGAUCGGAGUUGACCUUCAUCCAUUUCGGGCUCGGAGCAAAUCAGUCAGCCUCAUCACUCUUCAUUCUUUUCUAUAUAUCAAAGCAGUAAUCCAACUAAAGCUUUCACUAAAUCCACCAGUACUGUGAAUAAUACUUCCCUAAGGAACGAGUUACGAGUCAUAAGGUUCAUGACCGAGAUCGUUUUCUCUAGAUGUCGAAGAACAAUAGAAUCUGCAGUCGUACAGGAAUCAUUGUGAAUGAGAGAGACAGACUCCGCUGCUCACACCAGUAUAAAUCUGGGCUCUGCGUCAACAGCUCAUAGAUCGACGAUUCUCCAUCUCACCACUCAACUGCUGUCACUAAUAAAGAUGUCAGUCGAAGCGAAAGUGAGCUCCAAUGCUAACAUUCUGCUUCUGUCUCCCUUAAUAUCCGUAUGUAGAUCUCAUUUCUGCAUGCAGAAAGUUGUGGUGAAAGUGGGCGUCCAUGAUGGCCAGGAUAAGAGAAGGGCAAUGGAAGCUGUUUCCAGCUUUAAAGGUAAAAGCUAUCUCUAUCUUUCGCUCAACCUUUGGAGAGCUACGAAUUCGAUCGUACAAAUCCUUUGUGCAUAACGGCGGACUUGAAGAACAAGAAGCUCACUGUCACCGGAAACGUCGACCUCGUGGAUGUGGUGAGAAUGUUAAGGUAACACUGGUGCGCAAAAGAACCAGAGAAGAAGACGGCAGAACCCAAGAAGGAGGAGGAGGGGUGAGGGCGCCAUUGAGGCCGCCAAGGCAUGCAAAGCGGAGUAUCAUUUUGUCAUAUACUCAAAUUAUAGAUGUUUUCACUAAGCCACUUUAAAAGACAUUCCUAUGGAUUUCAUUCAUUAAUACAAGUUGGACAUCCUAAACAUUCAUUCUCCAAAUUAAAUGGAGCAUGAACAAAAUAACAAAUUAAAUGAAUGAUUCUCCUAAUUGAUUGAGAUAAUAUUUCCCUACCAACUAUUACAACUUGGAGAUUUUCUACUAGCAAUCAACAUAUCUAUAUCUACCUUAUAUGACAUGGACACAAAGUGAAUAUAAUUAAUGUGAAUACAUAAUGUUGACGUACAUUAGACAACAUAUUAUCUAAAACUUGUACAUAUGCCUGUAUAUACUUAUCGAAGAUUCAAUAAAAAUUCACUUACUUGCACCAUUAUAUGCCAAUCCUCUACAUAUCUUGGUUUGUUCUCCACAAAAGAUGUCAUCGGAAGCAAAGGUAAGUCCCAGUGAUAGCAGUCAAGUUAUCUCUCCCCUUCUAUUUCUCUCACUAAAUUCCCAUACGCACAUCUCAUUUCUGCAUGAAGAAAAUUGUGGUGAAAGUGAACAUCCAUGAUGAGGAGGACAAGAGACAGGUGAUAAGAGCCACUUCCAAUCUUAUAGGUAAAAACUCGCUCCAUUCACUAAACCAUCUUUGGCUCAAUCUGUAGAGAGCUAAGAAUUCUUUUGUACUACGAACAGGAAUCGAUACGAUAUCGGUGGACUUGAAGGACAAGAAGCUCACAGUCAUCGGAAGAAUCGACCCCGUGCGGUUGACGAGAAAGUUAAGGAAAC